CUCCCUGCACACUUUCUCCCCUUUCUGGCUUUCUCUUUUCCCAACAGAGGCAGCUGGCGGCGGUGGCCACCAUGGCCGACGGCGACGGCACGCGUUCCAGCCACCUCGGCCUCGGAACGGGCCAACAAAAGGCAUCUAUACCUCCCGCGCACGCCUAGGACUCCUCUGGACUCUCUAGAACUGUCCCACGACACAGGAAAAAUACUGCUCACCUUCGUACCCCUGCCUGCACUACGACUGCUGAAACUGAAGAACACGGCGACCGGCGGUGACAAGGGAUGGCUUGAGCUGGAGUGGGCUCAAACGUGUUUUUGUCAUGUUGGUGGUGGUGUGGCUGCAAGGAUUUGAUGGAUGAUGAUUCAAGGGUGGAGGAUUUUGGUGAGAGGUGGAGCUCGGCGUGGGGAAACAGAAUGGCGGGAAGUCGAAGAUGACCCCCCUCCUGGCGAUAUUUAUUUGAAUUCUCACCGUUAUCCACUCGCCGCCUCUAGCCCUCCUGCUUAUGCGUGGAUCCUGUGCAUACUCGAUGCGUGGGCACUUUGAACUUGCCCGCGAAUUCACCUGGCUGCUUCGAGGAAGAAGAUAAGGAUGAGGUGUUACUGUCGUUCUCUGAAUCGACUUUGAACCGUGAACAACCUGAUCUUUGGACCUCCUGAUCUCCAAAUUUCUUAUAUAAACAUGAAAAUAGUCCAAAAUAACUAUUGUAGACCUAUUAUUCCUCUUCAUUUUCUGUUACGUGCAUGAGUCUUGAAUCUGCCCCAACCCUCUCAAAAGUCAACUCAAAUAGGUCGGGUUCAGGCUAUAUUUCAGAGUUUCCAGCACUUCUAUUCACACUGGCCAUCUUGGGGUCCAAGGAUUCUCCAAAUUUCAUCACUGAACAUUGAAAUCGUACAAAAUAAAAGUUGUAUAUGGUUCAUCCAACUACCUUUUUCAUGCUAUCCAUUUUUCUUGAAUCCAGCUCUAACCUGUUAAAAGAGCUCUGAACAUUGCUGCUGUUCACACUGAGUUAAAAUUGAAUGCUUCUGAACCUGAAACUUACAGUGCAGUUUUCUCCAAUUUAUUCCAUUGAACUUCAAAAUCUCCAAAAAGCAAAGUUGUAGAUUUGACAAUUCUAUACAACUUUUAUUUCAGUCACAUUUUCAUAUUUAGUGCCUAACAAAUCUAAAAAUUGCUCCGACCCACGACACAGGAAAAACGCUGCUCACCUUCGCACCCCUGAAAUUUACAGCUCAAUGUCUCCCAAUUUCGUUAUCAUACUUCAAAAUCCCUUGAACGCAAAGGUAUAGAUUUGAUAUUUAUCUACAACUUUUGUUUCAUGCACUUUCUUUGAUUCAGUCUCUAACCUAUUUACAUUUGGACCUGAACAUGUUGGCUUUUAACUGAAAUACAUGAUCUUCAGUUAACCUGUUUAAACCUGCCACAUGUACGUCUGGAUAUCUCCAUAUUUUUGUUACUGAACUUCAAAAUUGUCCAAAGCCAAAGUUGUAGAGGAGAUAUUUCCCUAAAAUUUUCAUGUUGGCGCUUUCUCUUAUUUUGCUUUAAUCAUGCUCAAACAUAACUCUGAAUAUGGCUGUUUUACUGAAAUUCAACGUUUCAGUCUUUUACCCAAACUGGUAGGCGCUGAAUUUAAAUUCUAACACCUUGGCAUUGUUUCCCAGUUGAUCAAAUGGCAUAUCUGCAAUGCCUUAGUUUCAUAGUUCAAGGACCAAAAUCGGAUGAUUGUGAUAGUUCAGGGUUGAAAAAUAGACUUUUCCCAAAUAUAUAUGAGCGAUCAAAGGGAUGCCCAAAGUAUUGGACUGUGCUUCGUUUCAUACUGGAGCUGUUGACUCUGAAGGCUAAGCAUAGUUGGUCAGAUGGAAGUUUCGAUGGUCUGUUGCGUAUCUUGGUUUGGUUGCUUCCAAAGCUAAAUAAAGUGCCAGCAAACAAAUACAAAGCGAAGAAGUUUGUCAGCUCAUUCACGAUGGGUGCGGAAAGAAUUCACGCAUGUCCAAAUUAUUAUAUUUUGUAUCGUGGGGAUACUUUCAGAGACUUGGGCAAAUGCCCUGUCUAUUCUGCAUGUUCCGCCUUAAGGAACUUGGCAUUGAAAUGGUGAAAGGAUCAAGUAUGCUGAUCCUCUAGCUAUUUGCGAGGCCAGGCACAAGGUGCCAAACAUGUGGGAAAACAACUAUGAUGUGUUCAAGCACUGUGAAACGCCUAAGGAGAUAGCUCGGGAAUGAUAAGAACAGCUCAAAGAGAAUAUGAAGACGGUUGCGGCCUACAUAGCAAAGAUGAUGCAAGAAUGGCAAGACGUGGCCGAUUGCAUUUUUGCGCAUACAAUGUUAGAUUGCCUUUUCAAUACAACCGAAGUGUGGAAGAAUCCUCAUAUUUGACUCCUUGGAUUGGCCAAAGAAUAAUUGCAAGGAUUUCUUAUUCAUCCUCAGAAUAGCUUACCAGCACUAUGUUAAAUUAAGAGGUGCCCAUGACCCUGAGAAGAAAAAAGAAAUGACUCUACACACAAACUUCUCAUGCCACAAGCAUCCUGUUUGUUCCAUGUAUUGCUGGUACUAUAUGUGCGAGCAUCUCAGGGUGCAAGGGCGAUACACAACUGAUCCUGAACGUGACAAUCCACCAAGGAACAUCGGGCAACUCCAUGGGAGAGAACUUUUAGAAGUAGUUGCCGAUUUAUGCAGUUUCAUUAUGCACGAAGUGGUCAACCCAAGGGGCACAUUUUAUAGUAAAGACCACGAAUUAGCAACAGAUCCUAAGUAUCAUGGUCUUCGUGAGUGGGAAAACAAGAAGCAUCGUGCCUCCUCUAGUAGCAUUGGUAAAUAGGAGAAAAAUAUGCAUUGAGCUUCAAUUUUGAUGAUGUACUAUACUCAUUAUGCUUUCUAAUGAUAUAUAUGUGUGUGUGUUUUAUUUCUACA